UACGUAGGGUGCAAGCGUUAAUCGGAAUUACUGGGCGUAAAGCGUGCGCAGGCGGUCUUGCAAGACAGGUGUGAAAUCCCCGGGCUUAACCUGGGAACUGCACUUGUGACUGCAAGGCUGGAGUACGGCAGAGGGGGAUGGAAUUCCGCGGUGUAGCAGUGAAAUGCGUAGAUAUGCGGAGGAACACCGAUGGCGAAGGCAAUCCCCUGGGCCUGUACUGACGCUCAGUGCACGAAAGCGUGGGGAGCAAACAGGA
rnacentral:rRNA from 1 species